rnacentral:rRNA from 1 species
UGGGGAAUUUUGGACAAUGGGCGCAAGCCUGAUCCAGCCAUGCCGCGUGCGGGAAGAAGGCCUUCGGGUUGUAAACCGCUUUUGUCAGGGAAGAAAUCUUCUGAGUUAAUACCUCGGGAGGAUGACGGUACCUGAAGAAUAAGCACCGGCUAACUACGUGCCAGCAGCCGCGGUAAUACGUAGGGUGCAAGCGUUAAUCGGAAUUACUGGGCGUAAAGCGUGCGCAGGCGGUUUUGUAAGACAGAGGUGAAAUCCCCGGGCUCAACCUGGGAACUGCCUUUGUGACUGCAAGGCUUGAGUGCGGCAGAGGGGGGAUGGAAUUCCGCGGUGUAGGCAGUGAAAUGCCGUAGAUAUGCGGAGGAACACCGAUGG